rnacentral:rRNA from 1 species
GGGCGGGGGCACGGGGGGAACGCGAAGAACCUUACCAAGUCUUGACAUCCUCUUGACCGGCGUGUAACGGCGCCUUCCCUUCGGGGCAAGAGAGACAGGUGGUGCAUGGUUGUCGUCAGCUCGUGUCGUGAGAUGUUGGGUUAAGUCCCGCAACGAGCGCAACCCUUAUCCUUAGUAGCCAGCAGGUAAAGCUGGGCACUCUAGGGAGACUGCCAGGGAUAACCUGGAGGAAGGUGGGGAUGACGUCAAAUCAUCAUGCCCCUUAUGAUUUGGGCUACACACGUGCUACAAUGGCGUAAACAAAGGGAAGCAAGACAGUGAUGUGGAGCAAAUCCCAAAAAUAACGUCACAGUUCGGACUGUAGUCUGCAACCCGACUACACGAAGCGGAAUCG